rnacentral:rRNA from 1 species
UACGUAGGGGGCAAGCGUUGUCCGGAUUUAUUGGGCGUAAAGAGCUCGUAGGCGGUCUGUCGCAUCGGAUGUGAAAACCCAGGGCUCAACCCUGGGCCUGCAUUCGAUACGGGCAGACUAGAGUACGGCAGGGGAGACUGGAAUUCCUGGUGUAGCGGUGAAAUGCGCAGAUAUCAGGAGGAACACCGGUGGCGAAGGCGGUUCUCUGGGCCUGUACUGACGCUGAGGAGCGAAAGCGUGGGGAGCGAACAGG